CCUUUGGAAAGCUUCACAUAGAAAUUGUGAAUAUGAGUUCCUCUUUUCAUGGAAAUGAAUCGGAACUGAAGCAGUUCCAUUCUUGGAAAAUAUACAUAGGCAAUAAAGUGUAUUGUUAAUGAUUUCACCUUCCAGUAGGGAUCGUGAAGCGCUAAAUAGCGACAUAAAAUUUAUGUCAACGUUGGUAACGUGAUUGUAACAUUGGCUUCCUCCGGAUGAUAGCAAAUUUGGAAUUUCUUCAAGGCCAAGUAAUGUCGAAGAAGAGUAUAUCUUGGCAUAUAAGGCUAAAAGAGCGACGAGACGAACGAGUUACGAAUAGCCGCUAACAGGUACAGACGCACGGUUUGGUGAUCCACCAGUUUAGGACACCCUCUUCUGCUGUUUGGAGUGCUCCUCUUAUUCCGGAGCCUACUUUUUGGUAUAUAUACUUGUUUGAUGCAUAUGUAUAUAUUUGUUCAGGGGUACGGCGGGGCCCUGUUCUGCCAUAUGAUCCGUUUGGUCUGUUUAGAGAUCUGUAGACGUAUUUGUGGGUGUGUGUGCCUACUUCUGUUCAGAUGUGUUUGUAUGAUCCUAUUCGCUAUGGCAGCCUUGUCGGCGUGCAUUUGUAUAUGUUUUGGGCCGUUGUGCCAUUUGAUAGCCUUGUCGGCUUUUGAUACAUUUGAUAGCCUUGUCGGCUUUUGAUACAUUCGAUAGCCUUGCCGGCUUUUUGAUAUAUGUAUAUGCAUAUGGUUGUGUUUGAAAUAUGUCUAAGACAGUUUGAUAUAAUUUGAGGCAGCGUGUGAUAUUUGUGCCUAAAUACGUUAUCUGUAUGUGAUUAGAUUUGGAUAAGUGUGUUACGAUUUGAUAUGUUUGUCUGUCUGGGUGUCCAAGUAGGGCACCAGUCGCGGCCCACGGGGUUGGGUCGUGACAGAAGGUAUCACAAAAAAUUAAAGGCAAGUUCUACAGAGUGGUGGUUAGACCAAUUAUAUUGUAUGAGGCAGAGUGUUGGCCACUCAAGAACUCUCAUGUUCAAAAGAUGAAAGUUGCAGAGAUGUGGAUGCUGAGAUGGAUAUGUGGGCAUACUAGGAGAGAUAGGAUAAGAAAUGAAGAUAUCCGAAGCAAGGUGGGAGUGGCCUUUGUGGAGGAUAAGGUACGGGAAGCGAGAUUGAGAUGGUUCAGGCAUGUGCAAAGAAGAUACGCAGAUUCCCCAGCACGGAGGUGUGAGAGGCUAGCUAUGGAUGGUUUUAGAAAAGGUAGAGGCAGGCCGAAGAAGUAUUGGAGAGAGGUGAUUAGACAUGACAUGACAAGUCCGACUUACCGAUGAUAUGACCUUAAAUAGGAGGUUAUGGAGGACAUGAAUUAGGGUAGAGGAUUAGUAAGUAUUUGAGUGUUGUCUUACUUAUCCUUGCAUACUAGUAGUCGUAGUAUUAUUCUUGUAGGUCUUUUGUCUUUCAAUAGCAUUUUGUCGUGCCCUUUUAUACUGCUUUGGAUUGCUUGUUCUUACCUCUAGCACUAUCUGAUUGUUUCCUUUAAUACAUCGUCCUAUUAUCUUGUUGCUAUUACUGCUUAUUAUUACUAUUUAUUAUAAUUGAUGCGAGAUCAUCUCUCAUUGAGCCGGAGGGUCUAUCAGAAAUAACGUCCCUACCCGUCAAAAGGUAGGGGUAAGGUCUGGGUACAGUCUACCCUCCCCAGACCUUACCUGAUGGGAUUAUACUAUGUAUGUUGUUGUUGUACUUUUUUCUAAAUUCAGUUUCACAUGAUUGGAAUAGUGGAUACCCUUGAUAAGAUAGAAAUAUAUAUUUGAUGAGAUAGUCAAUCCCUCCUAGUCUCUUAUAAAAGCAUAAUAGAACGCCAAAUAUCAUAAUCGAACGCCAAAUAUCAUAAUCGCAAUAAAAAAACAGGUAUUGUUAUAAAUACACUGUAUUGUGGAUGUCCAUUCAAAUACACAGUCAACUGGAUAAGCUUACAAUUAAGCAGACAACUUGCAAGUAGCUCAAGCAGGCAACUUGCCAGCAGCUUCUGAAAAGUCUCGCAGUAGCUUCCUGAAAAGCCUCGCAGCAGCUUCUUUUCCUCUAUAAAUAGGAAGUCAAUUCAGUUCAUUUGUACAACAAUUGAAAGAGCAAUAAAAUCUCUCUCUCUCUUUUUGGCUAUAUCUCUUG